AAAAUUAGAGUGUUCAAAGCAGGCAGAUCCAAUUUUCUGCCACCGAAUACAUUAGCAUGGGAUAAUGGAAUAGGACCCUGUCCUCCUAUUUUAGUUGGUUUUGGCAGCGCGAGGACUAGGGUAAUGAUUAAUAGGGAUAGUUGGGGGCAUUAAUAUUUAAUUGUCAGAGGUGAAAUUCUUGGAUUUAUGAAAGAUUAACUUCUGCGAAAGCAUCUGCCAAGGAUGUUUUCAUUAAUCAAGAACGAAAGUUAGGGGAUCGAAGACAGAUCAGAUACGGUGUAGUCUUAACCAUAAACGAUGCCGACCAGCGACUAGGAGACGUUGAAUACAAAACACCACCAUCGGUGCGGUCGUCCUUGGCGCGUUGGUCUUCAAAAGCCAGCGCGCGGGGGCGGCUUAGCCCGGUGGCACCGGUGAA
rnacentral:rRNA from 1 species